rnacentral:sRNA from 1 species
AUACUUUAGACUUUUCAAAAAUAUGUUAUGGUGUACAUAUUCAUUGUAGUUCAAAACAAAUUGAGACAAGUGUAUCAUGUUCAUGUAACAGUGAAGUUUUCUUUGUUUAUUCAUGAACGUGCAGUUAUUUUGUAAAUUGCAUUCAUAUUUUUUAAAAAGUAAGAUCUUUGUUGCAUUUUUAAAGGGAGAUUUGAUAGGCAUUUAAUCGAGAUGAAAAAAAAUACAAAUGUAAAGAUUUCUAUGGGAGUUUUUUUUCUUGUGCAAUUUUAUCAUUUUUUAAAUAAAAGUCCCUAAUAAGGGAAUUGCCAUAUG